GACGAACGCUGGCGGCGCGCUUAACACAUGCAAGUCGAACGGAAAGGCCUGCUUUCCCUUGUGGAUUGCGGGUACUCGAGUGGCUAACGGGUGAGUAACACGUGAGUGAUCUGCCCCCAACUUGGGUAUAAGCCUGGGCAACUGGGUCUAAUUCCCGAUAGGACUGCAGGGUGGUGCCUGUGGUGGAAAACGAUUUUCUAGUGGUUGGGGAUGAGCUCGCGGCCUAUCAGCUUGUUGGUGGGGUAAUGGCCUACCAAGGCGGCGACGGGUAGCCGGCCUGGGAGAGUGGACGGGCACAGUGGAACUGAGAUACGGCCCAGACGCCUACGGGAGGCAGCAGUGGGGAAGAAUGCACGAGGGGCGGAAGCCUGAGGCAGCGACGCCGCGUGAGGGAUGACGGCCGUCGGGUGGUGAACUCCUGGCGACCGCGAGGAAGCCACCUGGAUGGAGGGGUGGUGACGGUAGUGGUAGAAGAAGCACCGGCUAACUACGUG
rnacentral:rRNA from 1 species